rnacentral:rRNA from 1 species
UACGUAGGGUGCGAGCGUUAAUCGGAAUUACUGGGCGUAAAGCGUGCGCAGGCGGUUCGUUAUGUCCGAUGUGAAAGCCCCGAGCUCAACUUGGGAAUGGCAUUGGAAACUGGCGGGCUGGAGUGUGGCAGAGGGGGGGUGGAAUUCCACGUGUAGCAGUGAAAUGCGUAGAGAUGUGGAGGAACACCGAUGGCGAAGGCAGCCCCCUGGGCCAAUACGUGACGCCUCAUGCACGAAAGCGUGGGAGCAAACAGG